rnacentral:rRNA from 1 species
AAUAUUUGACAAUGGGGGGAACCCUGAUCCAGCCAUGCCGCGUGUGUGAAGAAGGCCUUUUGGUUGUAAAGCACUUUAUGCGAGGAGGAGGAGCUCUUGGUUAAUACCCAAGAUGCUUGGACGUUACUCGCAGAGUAAGCACCGGCUAACUCUGUGCCCGCAGCCGCGGUAAUACAAUGGGUGCAAGCGUUAAUCGGAUUUACUGGGCGUAAAGCGGGCGGAGGUGGCCAAUUAAGUCAAAUGUGAAAACACUGAGGUUAAAAUGGGAAUUGCAUUCGAUACUGGUUGGCUAGAGUAUGGGGGAGGAUGGUAGGAUUCCAGGUGUAGAGGUGAAAUGCGUAGAGAUCUGGAGGAAUACCGAUGGCGAAGGCAGCCAUCUGGCCUAAUACUGACACUGAGGUGCGAAAGCAUGGGGAGCAAACA